rnacentral:lncRNA from 1 species
AUGAGCAACACAAGUCACUUUCACUCAUCCUUCACUGGUCAAAAUAAGUCACACGGCCAAGGCAGUAUUCAAGGAGCGAGGCAGUACAAACCUGUGAGGCAGGAGAAGAACCGGAAUAUCAGUGAGCAGGACCAUUCCCUGCUACAUAAGGGUAAGUGUUCACGACACGGGAGUUUCCCCGUCUCCGCACAGGGAAAGCAAGUGUCUCUUACAGAUGACUCGUGCUGGCUCCCAUCUCUCCCUCCCGCUCCCCUGGACUGGAGGAGGAAAAGGACAAGGAGUAGCAGCCGCUCACCUCCUGCCUCCUCACCCCUCCCUCCCGCAGCAAAGUGAAUCAGAGACUCAGCAAACAGCUGGAUAAUUGUGUAAAUAGCAACGCUCUCCGAACAAUCCUUUCCAGAAGAGGAACACUAAAGUCUGCUGGGAAGAAGGAGAUGCUGAGUCAAGAGGCAUCAGGUUCAAAUCCUGGGUCUACAUUUGCCGUCGGUGUGCCCAUGAAGAUUCUUUAUACGUUCUGAGCUUUAAUAUCUUCAUUUGUUUAAAAAAAAAAAAAGUGCGUGCAUGCUUGUGUAUGUGUGUGUGUGUUAUAUUAGCUCAAAAGGUUGUUGAAAAGAUUAAAUAUUACAGUAUUCAUGAAAGUAACUAGCAUUGUACCCAGGCGUAUAGCAAACACUGAAUUACUGGCUAAUCUGAAACUGAGUCAAAGUGUUAAAAGCAUCCGUGCACUAGCAGUCUUCAGGCCCCGUGAAUGUUUCCACAUUGGCCCUCCUGCCCCCACCCCAAGCUCAGCACUCAGUUACAAACUACACAGAGGACUCCAUAGCUGAGGGUCAGAUCUCCCAGAUGCCAGGAUCUAAAGCCAACUCCAGGCUGAAUCCAUCCCAGGGACUGUAGCUUUAGAGUUGUCCUCCAGGCCCAGAAACCAACAGAGAGGUCUCACAGCAAAACAGGUGAGUGUGUGUGAAAGGAGGGGAGAACGAAGAGGUGUGGUGGUGGGCAGCGCUCCUCCUGAAUGAGCAUGGUUGGGCGGAGCGGGGUUGGUUCACACAGGAUAGGACACACUGGUGGUCAGCAUGCUCUGGGGAUUCUGAACAGAUAGGGAAGAGGCAGUGCUGGGAAAGAACCAAGAGAAGGACAGACUGAGGAAAGAAUGCAGGAAGGCAGCUGCAGAGAUGGAGAAGAUGGAUGAAGUUGGGGAGAUCCAACCCCAGAAACACUGCCAGGAAGUAGAGAGGCUUUUAUUCAACAUCAUUUCCAGUUAACCACAGCUACGAAUGCUUAGAACGCACGCCCCCCCCCCCCCCCGCUCCCACCAGAAGAUGCUGUGCCCGUGAUUCCCAUGUCAAUGAAAGUCACCCUUGG